AAAAUCCACACAUCAGCACGGA
rnacentral:miRNA from 1 species